rnacentral:lncRNA from 1 species
GUUAGGGUUAGGGUUAGGGUUAGGGUUAGGGUUAGGGUUAGGGUAGGGUUAGGGUUAGGGUUAGGGUUAGGGUUAGGGUUAGGGGUAGGGUUAGGGGUAGGGUUGGGGUUGGGGUAGGGGUAGGGUUAGGGUUAGGGUUAGGGUUAGGGUUAGGGUUAGGGUUAGGGUUGGGGUUAGGGUUAGGGUUAGGGUAGGGUUAGGGUUAGG